CGUGUAGGCGGCCUGACAGGUCUGCUGUGAAAACUCGAGGCUCAACCUCGAGAUGUCGGCGGAAACCGUCUGGCUAGAGUCCGGAAGAGGAGAGUGGAAUUCCUGGUGUAGCGGUGAAAUGCGCAGAUAUCAGGAAGAACACCUAUGGCGAAGGCAGCUCUCUGGGACGGUACUGACGCUGAGACGCGAAAGCGUGGGGAGCGAACA
rnacentral:rRNA from 1 species